rnacentral:rRNA from 1 species
AUUGAACGCUGGCGGCAUGCUUUACACAUGCAAGUCGAACGGUAACAGGCCUUCGGGUGCUGACGAGUGGCGAACGGGUGAGUAAUGCAUCGGAACGUACCCAGAGGUGGGGGAUAACGCAGCGAAAGCUGUGCUAAUACCGCAUGUGAUCUGAGGAUGAAAGCGGGGGACCGAGCAGCAAUGUUUGGCCUCGCGCCUUUGGAGCGGCCGAUGUCGGAUUAGCUAGUUGGUGGGGUAAAGGCCUACCAAGGCGACGAUCCGUAGCUGGUCUGAGAGGACGACCAGCCACACUGGGACUGAGACACGGCCCAGACACCUACGGGAGGCAGCAGUGGGGAAUUUUGGACAAUGGGCGCAAGCCUGAUCCAGCAAUGCCGCGUGCGGGAAGAAGGCCUUCGGGUUGUAAACCGCUUUUGGCAGGAACGAAACGGUGUCCGCUAAUACCGGGCGCUAAUGACGGUACCUGCAGAAUAAGCACCGGCUAACUACGUG